UUAUUCUUUGUAACAAAUAUAUUUUUUUUAAAAAAAAAAUAUUUGUUAAAAAAAACAAAGAAUAAG
rnacentral:tRNA from 1 species